UACGAAGGGUGCAAGCGUUAGUCGGAAUUACUGGGCGUAAAGCGUGCGUAGGCGGUCUCUUAAGUCCGUUGUGAAAGCCCUGGGCUCAACCUGGGAACUGCAGUGGAUACUGAGAAGCUAGAGUGUGUCAGAGGAUGGUGGAAUUCCCGGUGUAGCGGUGAAAUGCGUAGAGAUCGGGAGGAACAUCUGUGGCGAAGGCGGCCAUCUGGACCAGCACUGACACUGAGGCACGAAAGCGUGGGGAGCAAACAGG
rnacentral:rRNA from 1 species